rnacentral:misc_RNA from 1 species
GUAGGUGAACCUGCGGAAGGAUCAUUAACACGUGAUACUCACGUAUUAACCCAUCGCGAAUUUGUUAUCUGUCCCGUGAUCGAAUAUUUGCAGUGGCAAGGGGGGAAGGGUGUGAGCCGCGUUCUGCGCGGUUCUGCCUUCUUGUCUAGGCGUCCGACGCCAAGCUCGUACCGAUCAUGGUAGAUGAACUCCGUCAGUUUAGGCUUGCACCUGGGCCGGCUUUCCGAGUGACCCCCUAACCAUAUUUAUU